CCCGCAACGAGCGCAACCCUUAUCCUUUGUUGCCAGCGGUCCGGCCGGGAACUCAAAGGAGACUGCCAGUGAUAAACUGGAGGAAGGUGGGGAUGACGUCAAGUCAUCAUGGCCCUUACGACCAGGGCUACACACGUGCUACAAUGGCGCAUACAAAGAGAAGCGACCUCGCGAGAGCAAGCGGACCUCAUAAAGUGCGUCGUAGUCCGGAUUGGAGUCUGCAACUCGACUCCAUGAAGUCGGAAUCGCUAGUAAUCGUGGAUCAGAAUGCCACGGUGAAUACGUUCCCGGGCCUUGUACACACCGCCCGUCACACCAUGGGAGUGGGUUGCAAAAGAAGUAGGUAGCUUAACCUUCGGGAGGGCGCUUACCACUUUGUGAUUCAUGACUGGGGUGAAGUCGUAACAAGGUAACCGUAGGGGAACCUGCGGUUGGAUCACCUCCUUACCUUAAAGAAGC
rnacentral:rRNA from 2 species